UACGGAGGGGGCUAGCGUUGUUCGGAAUUACUGGGCGUAAAGCGCACGUAGGCGGCUUUGUAAGUCAGAGGUGAAAGCCCGGAGCUCAACUCCGGAAUUGCCUUUAAGACUGCAUCGCUUGAAUCCAGGAGAGGUGAGUGGAAUUCCGAGUGUAGAGGUGAAAUUCGUAGAUAUUCGGAAGAACACCAGUGGCGAAGGCGGCUCACUGGACUGGUAUUGACGCUGAGGUGCGAAAGCGUGGGGAGCAAACAGG
rnacentral:rRNA from 1 species